UUAUUCAUUAUUUCAAACACUUUCAUGCAGGUGUAGUUGAUUCCAAGUCAAUCAAUUAAUUUGCUUUCAUCAAUUCAUUUUGUUUUCAUUAUAAUUCAGUGAAGUUACAAGCUAUUAAUUUCGAGUUAAGGAACCAUGGCUUCUUUAAAGUCAAUUUUGAUUGGAACAUAUUCGUUCCUUAUUACGGCACAUAUUGUCGGUGCGAUUUCGUCGUUAGUGUAUUUAGGUGGUCUACAAAUGGGUCCUUUCUUAGUGUCUCUACUCAUUCAAGGAUUAUUAUUGACUGCUGUCAUUAAGGAAUGGAGACUUUUCCUGAGUAUCUGGCGAAUCCUCAUCAUAAUUGUGAUUGUUAUUAUGUCUCUUAUUUUUGUUUUUGAAAUACUGCUCGUAUCGGGAAUACUUUUCAAUUUAAUUUUGGCUUACCUCAUCGGAAGAUAUACUAAUGAUUUGAAAAGGGCAAUUAUUGUUGCUUGCAACUUUUAACAGCUAUACUUGUGCAUCAUAGACUAACGUAUGGGGAAUGAGAAUAAGAAAAUUUUCUAGAUCCAAUUGCUAAUAGAGGCGGAUACAAAGAAAUUUUCAAAACAAGUCGAACUUAGUAGGGUCUAGUGGAUUCACUCAUUUAAUCCUAUCUUAUUAAGCCAAUAAUUCUAUCGGCUUUAAUCAUUCUUGAUUUAAUCGAAUUAGUUAAAUUAGCGAAAUAGCUUUCAACGAAUGUUUUGAGUUUAUUUUUAAUGUCAACGAUGUCAAAGUGACAUUUUAUUCAUUAUUGCAAACACAUUCAUUAUAACUAUUCGACACAAUCUCAAGUGUGAUCUAAAUAUACUCAUGAGCUGCUCAUCUUCAAUGGUACGAUGUGUAAGGGGAAUUUUAUUCAUUAUUUAAACACUUUCAUGCAAUUGUAGUUGAUUUUAAGUCAAUCAAUUAAUUUGCUUCCAUCAAUUCAUUUUGUUUUCAUUAUAAUUCAGUGAAGUUACAAGCUAUUAAUUUCGAGUCAAGGAAUCAUGACAAAGGUGGUAUUCGAAUGUGUCUUUUUACAGAGUCGCUGCUCAUUCAGUGAAUAAGCAAAUUGGAAACAAUUGUGACGGAAUUUAUUGGAUUCAAUGUUGCGUUUGACGGGCUUUCUCUGGUAUCAGCGUGCAUGGCUCCCCAGCCGGAUAUCAUUGUAUCCUGUCUCUUUAAGCUUUAUUUUUGACGGACUCGUAUUGAUGGCGAUCAUCAAACAAUGGAGAAAUUGCUUGAGAAUUUGUAGAAUCUUCAUCCAUCUCUUUUACAUCGUGUUACUUGUAGGGGCAAGAGGAAUAGCGGCAUCUUAUGGAGAGGCUAAAAGAGAUGAAGUUACUAGAGAGAUAUUGAAUCGACUAAAUUGAUAAGUAGGUAUACUAAACAACUGGAAAGGUUAUUCCAAGCUUCCACCAACUCUCCACCUUCUCAAUCGAAUAAUCCUCCGCCUUACUCACCUCUUUAUUCUUAUUAAUUUAGUGCUGAAACUUAGGCUUAUUUUGUCUUCGAACUUUUAAUGUUGGAAAUUAUGACCAAAGUAAAAGUUACUUGGAAAUCAAUAAAUGAAUAAAAGAUAUUUUUACCUUU